rnacentral:rRNA from 1 species
CGUGGCAGAUAGCUCAGUAACACGUGGCCAAACUACCCUGUCGAUCGGGACACCCUCGGGAAACUGAGGCUAAUCCCGGAUACGGCUCGCUGCCUGGAGUUGGCGCGAGCCCGAAACGUUCAGGCGCGACAGGAUGUGGCUGCGGCCGAUUAGGUAGACGGUGGGGUAACGGCCCACCGUGCCGAUAAUCGGUACGGGUUGUGAAAGCAAGAGCCCGGAGACGGAAUCUGAGACAAGAUUCCGGGCCCUACGGGGCGCAGCAGGCGCGAAACCUUUACACUGCACGCGAGUGCGAUAGGGGGACUCCAAGUGCGAGGGCAUACAGUCCUCGCUUUUCACCACCGUAAGGAGGUGGUAGAAUAAGUGCUGGGCAAGACCGGUGCCAGCCGCCGCGGUAAUACCGGCAGCACGAGUGAUGACCGCUAUUAUUGGGCCUAAAGCGUCCGUAGCCGGCCGGGCAAGUCCAUCGGGAAAUCCGCACGCCUAACGUGCGGGCGUCCGGUGGAAACUGUUCGGCUUGGGACCGGAAGAUCCAGAGGGUACGUCUGGGGUAGGAGUGAAAUCCUGUAAUCCUGGACGGACCACCGGUGGCGAAAGCGCUCUGGAAAGACGGAUCCGACGGUGAGGGACGAAAGCUUGGGUCACGAACCGGAUUAGAUAC